rnacentral:lncRNA from 1 species
AAAAUCGUCGUAGGAAUCCAUCGUCGCUGUGACAGUUUAUAAGGAACUGCAUGCCCGAAUCAAAUGGAAGGUUGGCUCAGUGCAACUUCAUGCGCAACGCACCAAAAGACAUGCACAGGCUGACAGGCGCACACGCACACGCACACGCACACAGCACCGGGCCGCACGCUUUUCCCUUCGUUUCCUGCCCCCACAGGCUGACACAUGCGCCUGAACAGCCACGCACCUAGGGGCCUCGAGUCUGGGCCCACGGCCUGUCAAUUCAUCCACCUCCCGCUCAUUCAAUAUUUGCGAGCUAUGCUUGUACACAUGCCCCUUGGAUGCUUGUACACAUGCCCCUUGGAUGGAUGCAAAAACGGUUGGAUGAUGGAUACAGCGGUCUGCCGUAGCCUGCAUCAGUACCACGACUACUGCUGUCAUCGGUGCCACUUCGCCCAGCAGUACCCAUU